rnacentral:rRNA from 2 species
CUCGUAGUUGGAUUUUGGUUAAGAGGGCGCGGUCGGCCGUUUGGUCUGUACUGCGUUGUCUUGACUUCCUGAUGAGGACAUGCUCUUGGUUAACGCUGAGACAUGGAGUCAUCGUGGUUACUUUGAAAAAAUUAGAGUGUUCAAAGCGGGCUUACGCUUGAAUAUAUUAGCAUGGAAUAACACUAUAGGACUCCUGUCCUAUCUCGUUGGUCUCGGGAUGGGAGUAAUGAUUAAGAGGAACAGUUGGGGGCAUUCGUAUUUCAUUGUCAGAGGUGAAAUUCUUGGAUUUAUGAAAGACGAACUUCUGCGAAAGCAUUUGCCAAGGAUGUUUUCAUUAAUCAAGAACGAAAGUUGGGGGCUCGAAGAUGAUUAGAUACCAUCCUAGUCUCAACCAUAAACGAUGCCGACUAGGGAUUGGUGGAUGUUAAUUGAUGACUUCACCAGCACCUUAUGAGAAAUCAAAGUUUUUGGGUUCCGGGGGGAGUAUGGUCGCAAGGCUGAAACUCA